rnacentral:rRNA from 1 species
GACGAACGCUGGCGGCGUGCUUAACACAUGCAAGUCGAGCGGAGCGGCGCACGGGUGAGUAACGCGUGAGUAACUGCCCCCCUCUCUGGGGUAACAGUUGGAAACGGCUGCUAAUAACGGAUAGUGGGGGAUGACUCGCGUCCUAUCAGCUUGUGGGUGGGGUAGGGGCCAACCAAGGCGACGACGUGUAGCCGGCCUGAGAGGGCGACCGGCCACAUUGGGCUUAGAUACGGCCCAAACGCCUACGGGAGGCAGCAGGGGGGAAUCUGGCACAAUGGGGGAAACCCUGAUGCAGAAGCGCCGCGUGCGGGAUGACGGCCUUCGGGUUGUAAACCGCUGUCAGCCAUGACGCGGUAGUGGCAGAAGAAGCACCGGCUAACUACGUGCCAGCAGCCGCGGUAAUAC